rnacentral:rRNA from 1 species
CUACGGGUGGCAGCAGUGAGGAAUAUUGCACAAUGGGGGGAACCCUGAUGCAGCAACGCCGCGUGGAGGAUGACGCAUUUCGGUGUGUAAACUCCUUUUAUAUGUCAAGAAAAUGACGGUAGCAUAUGAAUAAGCACCGGCUCAACUCCGUGCCAGCAGCCGCGGUAAUACGGAGGGUGCAAGCGUUACUCGGAAUCACUGGGCGUAAAGGACGCGUAGGCGGGUUGGAAAGUCAGGUGUGAAAUCCUACAGCUUAACUGUAGAACUGCACUUGAAACUUCUAAUCUAGAGUAUGGGAGGGGGAGAUGGAAUUAGUGGUGUAGGGGUAAAAUCCGUAGAUAUCACUAGGAAUACCUAAAGCGAAGGCGAUCUCCUGGAACAUUACUGACGCUAAGGCGUGAAAGCGUGGGGAGCAAACGGGAUUAGAUACCCGGGUAGUC